AGAGUUUGAUCAUGGCUCAGGAUGAACGCUAGCGGCAGGCCUAAUACAUGCAAGUCGAACGAUAGAUAGAAGCUUGCUUUUAUCGAAAGUGGCGCACGGGUGCGUAACGCGUAUGCAACCUACCUUUAUCAGGGGGAUAGCCUCUCGAAAGAGAGAUUAACACCGCAUAAAAUCACAAGCUGGCAUCAGCAAAUGAUCAAAUAUUUAUAGGAUAAAGAUGGGCAUGCGUGACAUUAGUUUGUUGGUGAGGUAACGGCUCACCAAGACUACGAUGUCUAGGGGAUCUGAGAGGAUGACCCCCCACACUGGUACUGAGACACGGACCAGACUCCUACGGGAGGCAGCAGUAAGGAAUAUUGGUCAAUGGGGGCAACCCUGAACCAGCCAUGCCGCGUGCAGGAAGACGGCCCUCUGGGUUGUAAACUGCUUUUAUCCGGGAAUAAACCCUUUUACGUGUAAGAGGCUGAAUGUACCGGAAGAAUAAGGAUCGGCUAACUCCGUGCCAGCAGCCGCGGUAAUACGGAGGAUCCAAGCGUUAUCCGGAUUUAUUGGGUUUAAAGGGUGCGUAGGCGGCUCGUUAAGUCAGGGGUGAAAGACGGUGGCUCAACCAUCGCAGUGCCUUUGAUACUGACGGGCUUGAAUACACUUGAGGUAGGCGGAAUGUGACAAGUAGCGGUGAAAUGCAUAGAUAUGUCACAGAACACCGAUUGCGAAGGCAGCUUACCAAGGUGCAAUUGACGCUGAGGCACGAAAGCGUGGGGAUCAAACAGGAUUAGAUACCCUGGUAGUCCACGCCCUAAACGAUGAAUACUCGAUGUUAGCGAUAUACUGUUAGCGUCUAAGGCGAAAGGCGUUAAGUAUNCCACCUGGANGNCCGAC
rnacentral:rRNA from 1 species